UUCAGGACCGUCCCUGCAAGGAGGCAUUGCAGAUCCCCUCAAAUGACGCAUCUUCAUGCGAUUACCACCAUCAACGUUUCCGUUGGGCUGCCGACUCGCCAUCCUGUCUGCUGCAGAAGUUCAGAAACUACGAAAUAUGAAAUUCUUCAGCCUUAAAGUCCUGCUGUCCUGAAGUAUAACGUAGCUUCAUGCUCUUUUAUGGUGUGUGUGCGUAAAUUUUGCCUUGUGUGACUCGUGAAUGUUUCUGUUGCAGAUGUAGGAGUUUGUGUUUAAUAAAGAUGAAUCUGUUA